UGCGGUUUUUGCCUUGUUGCCCAGGCUGGUCUUGAACUCCUAAGCUCAGUCUGCCCACCUGGGCCUCCCAAAGUGCUAGGAUUACAGGCGUGAGCCACCGUGCCCGCCCCUAAAGGUAUUUAUUAUAAUAGCCAUCAGUAAAGGCUGUACCUGUGAGAAUUUCUUAAAUCUCUUCCUUCUUAUGCUUUGGGACUUUUACAUAGAAAGAAAGCAGUGUUGUUAUAUACAUGUACCGCUAAAAUUUGUUUCUUGACAUAAGUUCAGAGCUGUGACUUCAUCCUGACUGUACCUAAAACCAAAACCACUGAGGAAGAUUUUUUUUUUUUUUAUUUUGUGAAAGUUCUGCCAAUUUUGCUUAAAUAGCUGUGUGAUUUUAAAGGUUGCCACUAGAUGGAGAGCUUUUUUUUUUUCAUCCUUGUUAAUCUCAAAUGAGUUAACUGUUGAUCCUCAUCAUUCGUGGGUUCUGUAUUUGUAAUUUGCCUGCUUGCUAAACUUUAUUUGUAACCCCCAAAAUCAGUAGUCACAGGGCUUUUGCAGACAUGAGCAGAGCAGUGAAAAGUUUGAGCUUCCUAACACGCAUGUUCCCCACUGAGGUGGAACUAAGGGAUGCUCAGCCUUGUUUCAUCUCUCAUACUGUGAAUAAGUAUCCUUCUCUUGGUCUUUUUAGUGCCUUUUUUUUUUCAUUAUCGUUAUUUGUUUUUUUUGUUGGCAAUUUUGCUAUUUAGAAUGCCCCCAAGUGUAGUGAUGAAGUGCUGACUAGUGUUCCUAAGUGCAAGAAGGCUGCGAUGUACUGUAUGUAGUAGAAAAUAUGUAUAUUUGAUGUUUCUUUUAGGUGUGGGUUACAGUGCUGUUAGCCAUGAGUACAUGUUAAUGAAUCAGUAUAUAUUAAAUUGUCUUUAACAUGCCUUAACGUAAAGCGCACACACAACAAGAUUAUGUAUUGAUUGGUUGAUGAAAAUGUAACCAGACACUCCCAGCAACCUAGUCCUGUAUUUCCCCUAGGAGCAUUGUUCAAUAUUUGCCAGUGCAGUGUUUGUGGUGACUUUAUAGAACAUAAACUAACUUGUAAGGUAAUUGACUAUUUUUUUUUGUAAUUUUCAAACUAAGAUUGUCUUCCUGACUUGUGAGAAGGCUAAAAUGAAUUCCUCCAAAUGCCUCUUUCCGUCAAUUUAUAUACUAUACAGUUCCCUUUCAUUUUUUAGUUUGCUGUCAGUAGUAACUUGAAAAGUUCUCACAUAGUCUAGAGAAUUUUUAUUUCAUGGGAUGUUAACAGUUCAAAAUGAACACAUUGGAACAACGUGAUUAAGAAUGAAAUGGUUGGUUUUCUGGUAUUUUUGAGAAAUGAGCGAGUGUUAAUUUUGUUAGUCAAAAAGCAACAUAAGGUGAAAGUUAAGUGAAUAAUAAGGUAGGUAUACAGGUAUACCAUGUAUCGUGAAAUUCAAGCUUAUUCCAGUUUGUAGAGCGCAGCAAAAUUUGUAUAUAGGCCAUUGGGAAAACCAGUCCUUCAUUAUAGGUGGUGAAGGGGUUUGAGGUGGAGCCUACUUUCUUGGGAGUCUGUUAUUUGGAAGUCACAACCAUUUUAUACUGUUCUUUGAACGUUUUUACCCAGAUAUUUUCCCAUUCCUGUGUGUAAUCUUCUGGUUCUGCAUCCAAAGGGAAGAAACAAGUCGAAGCAGGAGAGACGGUGGGUGGGGUGGGAAGCCCUGUGCUGCAGUAGGGCCACAGCAGUUAAGGAAAUCUUGGGAUUAAGGUUUCUCUGUUAAAGAGUUGAUUA